rnacentral:rRNA from 1 species
GAUCUGGCUCAGGAUGAACGCUAGCGACAGGCCUAACACAUGCAAGUCGAGGGGCAGCGGAGAGGUAGCAAUACCUUUGCCGGCGACCGGCGCACGGGUGAGUAACACGUAUGCAAUCCACCUGUAACAGGGGGAUAACCCGGAGAAAUCCGGACUAAUACCCCAUAAUAUGGGCGCUCCGCAUGGAGAGCCCAUUAAAGAGAGCAAAUUUUGGUUACAGACGAGCAUGCGCUCCAUUAG